GAUUUGGCAGAAUGCACCAGAGAAUCUAAAUUUCAUUCUUUUGACUCAUUAUGUGGAUCUGCUUAAAUCUUAAAUCUCCAAGUGAUGGGCCUAGAAAUGCUGAAGUCAUGCAUCGGCUGAAUGUUAUUUUCCUACUUAAUGAACCCAGCCUGGCUUGUGAAAAAGUCAACAUUAUUUGCACUGUAACUAAAAAUCUGUUGAAAGGGUAUUUUCAUACCAGUGAUGUUCUCAGGUACGUCAAACGUUAAGUGUUUUCUAAUUCAGCUCACAUUUGUUUUUAUAUUUUUACUGCAGUGUUUGUAUUUAAUCAACAUCACAACAUGCAUGUUAAUGUGGUAUUUUAUACAGUACUUGGAUUAUUCUUUGUUUACACACUGCUGCCACCUUUCCUGAGUGAAAAUGUGAUUUUUUUCUGAGAAUGACUUGGAUGUGUCUACACAAGCUUUGAAUCAGACACAUGUAAGAACAAUCUGGCUGAGGAACCAGUUGCUGGAGAUGCUGUUAGAUUUAAUCUGUUCAGACAACCUUCACCCAACUUCAAAGGAUCGGGAAGAAAUGUUCAUGGCUCUGGGAUUAGAUUGGUUCCUACUUUUCAUACAUGGCCAUUUGCAUUCAACCACAGUUUUGUUAGGGGCAAAGUUACUGAUCCACUUCCUGUAUAACCCAGUCAUCAUGGAGAAGUUCAGAGAUGGAACGGCAGCAAGUAUCUGGCUCUCCAACAUUGCGGAAGAUUGUGCAGUACUAAUGUGCACGUUUAAAUCUCUAUGCAAGAUGCAUUUGCUGGGCAUUAGUAUGUUUGUAUUACUUUCCUCGUUAAUGCCAUUUGAUAUGUUAUUCCUGUUAUAAAGCUAUCAUGACUCCUGGACAGUCAUUGCAUUACAGGUUGUAUAGAUAUAAGUAACUAAAUACGGACUUGGUUAGUGCAAGGUCCUGGACUGGAAGGACCAAGGUUGCCUACCACUGCUAGAGAGGAACAGUCGCUAGCAAGCAUCGAGUUAGAAAGUUUACCUUUUGGAUCUCUCAUCAUGACUUUUUAUAACUAUCUUCCUAAUAGAAUCUUAUCACUUAGCCUGCUUUGCUUGUUUGUUUUUCUG